ACUCUCUCCAUCAACACCAUAGCAACCUUCAUGCACUGUUAUUCCACAGUUGUCACACUGGAUUAUUUCAUCAGCAUCUUCACUGUUAUCUCCAAGACAAACGCAACAAAUCAAAAUAUGGUCCAUUUUCUGGGAACUCCAAUUUUGGGACUUCUCAAGGAUCAAGGAGUCCUCAUUACUCUUGCUUUGUGAAAGAGCCAGGCUAUCAUUUGUCAGUUCCUCAUCAUCUGCAUUAUUUCUGUUAAGAACUUUACUCUUCUUCUUCUUGGAUCCUCCAUCACUAGCUGUGCUGCUAUUAUCUUCUUCAUUACCUUCCUCAUCAUUGUCAUCCUCAUCACUUCCACUCCCAUCAUCUUCAUCAUCCUCAUUAUCUCCAUCACUCCCUUCUUUUCGCAGUGCAUUUUUUCCUUUUUUCUUCUCGGGAGUAGGCCGCCAGUCAUUGUCAUCUUCACUAUCAUAAUCAUCCAUAUCAUUUAGUUCUUCCAUUGACACAAAGUCCAGUAACGGUCGGUUCCUGCGCAAAUUCCAUUUUUUUGGUUCACUUGCUUGUUCAUCAAUCACAGGAUCGGUUUCAGCUGCUUUCUCUUUUUCUUUCUUCUUUUUUGGUUUCUCUUCUUCAUCUUCUUGCUCCUUCUUUUCAGUUUUAAUUACCUCUUUGUCUGCUGUUGGCACUUCUUCUUCAGUGGAGCUCUUUGGCUGUUGCUCUUCUACUUUCUCUUCUGCUGGUUCCUCCUCCAAGAUAUUUUCUUCUGAUUCAGUACAGGAACCUUCUCCACUGUCCUUUGAUGCAUCUUCACUUCCAUGACCACUUCCUUCAGAAUCUGAAGCAUCUCCAACUUUAAAAUCACUGUCAUCAGAGCUAUCAUAAUCUAAAGCUUCCAGCAGGGAAGCCGCCAGAGGCUUCACUUGUCUCCUCUUCGAGCUGCGGUCCAUAAAGGCUGUGCAGGUAAGCGGCGGCGAGCGGGAAUGCGUCCAGGCGGCGGCAGCGCGGCGCCGCCUUAGCCCCUCGGGUGCGGACCGCUGAGCCUCGGACCCCCUCGCCAGACAAUGGGCACGGC
rnacentral:lncRNA from 1 species